rnacentral:rRNA from 1 species
GAUGAACGCUGGCGGCGUGCCUAAUACAUGCAAGUCGAGCGAACAGACGAGGAGCUUGCUCCUCUGACGUUAGCGGCGGACGGGUGAGUAACACGUGGAUAACCUACCUAUAAGACUGGGAUAACUUCGGGAAACCGGAGCUAAUACCGGAUAACAUGUUGAACCGCAUGGUUCAACAGUGAAAGACGGUUUUGCUGUCAAUUAUAGAUGGAUCCGCGUCGCAUUAGCUAGUUGGUAAGGUAACGGCUUACCAAGGCAACGAUGCGUAGCCGACCUGAGAGGGUGAUCGGCCACACUGGAACUAAGACACGGUCCAGACUCCUACGGGAGGCAGCAGUAGGGAAUCUUCCGCAAUGGGCGAAAGCCUGACGGAGCAACGCCGCGUGAGUGAAGAAGGUCUUCGGAUCGUAAAACUCUGUUAUUAGGGAAGAACAAAUGUGUAAGUAACUAUGCACGUCUUGACGGUACCUAAUCAGAAAGCCACGGCUAACUACGUG